UACAGAGGGGGCAAGCGUUGUUCGGAAUUACUGGGCGUAAAGGGCGCGUAGGCGGCCUGCUAAGUCGAACGUGAAAUCCCUGGGCUCAACCCAGGAACUGCGUCCGAUACUGGUUGGCUUGAAUCCGGGAGAGGGAUGUGGAAUUCCAGGUGUAGCGGUGAAAUGCGUAGAUAUCUGGAGGAACACCGAUGGCGAAGGCAGCCUUCUGGGCCACAACUGACGCUGAGGUACGAAAGCGUGGGUAGCAAACAGG
rnacentral:rRNA from 1 species